GACGAACGCUGGCGGCGUGCCUAAUACAUGCAAGUAGAACGCUGAAGGAGGAGCUUGCUUCUCUGGAUGAGUUGCGAACGGGUGAGUAACGCGUAGGUAACCUGCCUGGUAGCGGGGGAUAACUAUUGGAAACGAUAGCUAAUACCGCAUAAGAGUAGAUGUCGCAUGACAUUUGCUUAAAAGGUGCAAUUGCAUCACUACCAGAUGGACCUGCGUUGUAUUAGCUAGUUGGUGAGGUAACGGCUCACCAAGGCAACGAUACAUAGCCGACCUGAGAGGGUGAUCGGCCACACUGGGACUGAGACACGGCCCAGACUCCUACGGGAGGCAGCAGUAGGGAAUCUUCGGCAAUGGACGGAAGUCUGACCGGGCAACGCCGCGUGAGUGAAGAAGGGUUUCGGAUCGUAAAGCUCUGUUGUAAGGGAAGAACGAGUGUGAGAGUGGAAAGUUCACACUGUGACGGUAUCUUACCAGAAAGGGACGGCUAACUACGUG
rnacentral:rRNA from 1 species